rfam:Tinamus guttatus contig60824, whole genome shotgun sequence.
UGGCCAGGGAUGAAAAUGAUAAUGCUGAUUACUUGCUAAUUGCUUGAUGGACUAAAGGAUUUUUCUGAGGCCA